rnacentral:rRNA from 1 species
UACGGGGGGGGCAAGCGUUGUUCGGAAUUACUGGGCGUAAAGGGCUCGUAGGUGGCUUCGUAAGUCCGUUGUGAAAGUCAAAGGCUCAACCUUUGAAAGCCGAUGGAUACUGCGGAGCUAGAGUACGGAAGAGGCGAGUGGAAUUCCUGGUGUAGCGGUGGAAUGCGCAGAUAUCAGGAGGAACACCGAUGGCGAAGGCAGCCUCCUGGGCCAGCACUGACGCUCAUGCACGAAAGCGUGGGGAGCAAACAGG